GUCCAGUUGACGAGUCCCAAAUAAGAUGAAAUGCGCAUCAUAGAU
rnacentral:hammerhead_ribozyme from 1 species